UAAAGUAUUAUAAAUUAGGUAGUAACGGAAUUUCCGAAACCUAAAGAACUUGGCGGUGUUUUAAAUAAUUGGAGGAACUUGUUAUUUAAUUGAAAUUCCUCAAUACAUCUUCCCUCAUUUUUGUUUGUAUAUCGUUGUUUCAAGACAACAUUCGAAAAUGUAGUCAAGAUUAAGAAUUUUUACUAAAUCAAAUCAAGGUGCAGCAUUAUGGGGUUAUAAUGAGUUACAAUAUGUUUUAUAUAAACGGAAAUAAGCAUGAAAAAUCAAUAGAAGGUGGAUUCAAAAGUAACAGGAAAUUAAAAAGUUUUUGUGAAUUAUGAUUUAAAAUAUGC
rnacentral:rRNA from 1 species